rnacentral:rRNA from 1 species
AUUGAACGCUGGCGGCAGGCCUAACACAUGCAAGUCGAGCGGAUGAAGGGAGCUUGCUCCUGGAUUCAACGGCGGACGGGUGAGUAAUGCCUAGGAAUCUGCCUGGUAGUGGGGGAUAACGUCCGGAAACGGGCGCUAAUACCGCAUACGUCCUGAGGGGGAAAGUGGGGGAUCUUCGGACCUCACGCUAUCAGAUGAGCCUAGGUCGGAUUAGCUAGUUGGUGGGGUAAAGGCCUACCAAGGCGACGAUCCGUAACUGGUCUGAGAGGAUGAUCAGUCACACUGGAACUGAGACACGGUCCAGACUCCUACGGGAGGCAGCAGUGGGGAAUAUUGGACAAUGGGCGAAAGCCUGAUCCAGCCAUGCCGCGUGUGUGAAGAAGGUCUUCGGAUUGUAAAGCACUUUAAGUUGGGAGGAAGGGCAGUAAGUUAAUACCUUGCUGUUUUGACGUUACCAACAGAAUAAGCACCGGCUAACUUCGUG